rnacentral:misc_RNA from 1 species
ACACAUCCUCAACCUUCUUUUGGUCUUUUGACCAGGGAAGGCUUGGACUUUGGAGGUCUUUCAUUGCUGGUAUCCUUUUAAAGCCAGCUCCUCCUAAAUGAAUCAGUGGGGUCCGCUUUGGUGAUCCUCGACGUGAUAAGCAUUAUUCUACGUCUUGGGUUUUCACAGCAACCUGCUUCCAACCGUCUUUAAACAAAGACAAUGUUCGGGUUUCGACUCGACCCACAAAA